ensembl:lncRNA
GCUACAUUUGCUUUGUAAAGUGAACAUCAUUAUUUUUGUAUUAAAUGUAUGUUAGCUAUCUAGAUGUUUGUUGUAUGUAAACCAAAUGAACAUGAUGACACUGUGGACACAAAUGAUGGCAAAAUGUUAGAUACAGUAGCUAGUUACAGUCCUAUAGCUACUUAUGUGUGCUGAGUUAGCAAUUGUUUUUGCUAAAUAACAGGGUUAGGAUAGUUGCUUCAGAUACUGAUAUCCUAAAUUGACUAACUUGCCUUGAGUCUUGGUUGAUUCAAUUGCCUGAAUACUGACUUACAAAUGACUCACUAACUGCUGAUCAUCCUGUAGCUGGUCUAUACACUAUUGGAGGUGUGACAGGCCAUAAUGUCCAGCAGAGCAGGUAGCCUAACCACCAACCCUCCUCUAUAAGAUCUACUCAGUGAUGAUGGGCCACCUGGUUGUGCAGCUGAUCUGGAUUCUGCCUUAAGACUCAGCCCACCUGUAUUUACUGACCCGCCUGUAAUUGGACCAAAAAGGCUCUGGGGUCUUGCUAAGGACACACCUUUGGCAGUUCUGGACAUCUCUCUCCAUGUCAUACCAGAAGAACCUCUGACAGGCUAGGGACCCUGGUGACCAGCCAGGUCAAGAACACCCGACAGUGCUUCACCCUUUAGGGUUUCCGGCAGGACCAAUUGAAUCACUGGUAACCCUGUAUAGGAUACAAUUCAGGACUGUCAAUCUAUCUCACUGUUUCAGCAUCCUUAGAGUUAGGAGGGCUUCUCUGGCAUGCUCACAUCUGGAUGGUCUGCGAUUCCGGUCAACAUAGUGAAUUAAUCUGGAAAGGACCACAUCUAGUUGCUGGUGAGCCUGAAGGUUUACCAAGGAUAAGGACGGAAGCGUAUCCUGGCAUGCUGGAGCCAAAGACAUAUACAUGGUCUGCUAAGGAGAGGGCUCUCUGUCUUGGGGCGCUCUCCCAGUCUUCAGAUGAAAUGAGUGUGGAGAUGUCAUCCUUAGACAUUGAGGUGUCGGUAACCACACACAAAGAGGGGCUGUCCAAGACCUGGGUCUGACACAUCAAGCGGAAGACAUCCUGCUCCAACAAUCUCGGAUGGAGAAGCAGGACUCCUUGCUGGUGAUCCAGGCUGAUGUUGUGUCUUCAGGCCUGGAAGACGAGGAUGGAGCACUGUCCUUUAGCUAUCUGUCUGUGAAGAGUGACCCUUCUCCCAGCUGUCUGUCUGUGAAGAGUGACCCUUCUCCCAGCUGUCUGUCUGUGAAGAGUGACCCUUCUC